rnacentral:tRNA from 2 species
GGGCCGGUGGUGUAGCCCGGUCUAGCAUACCGACCCUAAUGAAGGGGUAGAAGCCUGUCGACCGGGUGAUAGAUAGCCGGUGGUCCCGGGUUCGAAUCCCGGCCGGCCCG